UCCUGUAUCGAAAGUGGUCAUGGCGUCCUCAUCGUCAGCUCAUUGAUAGUACAGGCAGAUGAAGUUGAGAGCCUUUCCCGUGUGUGAAGGAUCCUCAGUUCCUAUCAGACCCUGAUGCUCUCAGACA